rnacentral:rRNA from 1 species
UACGAAGGGAGCUAGCGUUGUUCGGAAUUACUGGGCGUAAAGGGCGCGUAGGCGGCCAUUCAAGUGACGGGUGAAAGCCCUCGGCUUAACCGAGGAACUGCCUGUCAGACUGGAUGGCUUGAGACCGGGAGAGGUGAGUGGAAUUCCCAGUGUAGCGGUGAAAUGCGUAGAUAUUGGGAGGAACACCAGUGGCGAAGGCGGCUCACUGGACCGGAACUGACGCUGAGGCGCGAAAGCGUGGGGAGCAAACAGG